UGCAAAUCUCCCCGCCGCAGCCAAGCGCUCCGUGGACCUGGGUGCGUGGUUGCCGACCGCGGAAAAGGGGAAUCCGGAAAAGGGGAUCCCGGAUGUUUUCAAAUUUCUCAAGACGAGAUGCAUCUCGGAACACACUUUGGAAUUUUGGAGCACUCUGUACACCAGUUUCCUUCGCCUCCUCUCUGCCCUCCAAGUCAAACACAGAAUCUAGGAAUUUUAUUUCUAUUUUACAGGAAACAGAUCUUUCUAACUUUGGAAGAUUGCCACAGAGUACUGCUAGUGUUGUCACUAACAUGCUACUGAACAGCAUACUGAAAGUCACUCUAAAGCAGGCGCCUAGAGCUGGAGACAGUGGAGUGCUGAGGAGGAGAGCGGCUCUGUUGAGGGCAGGGGAGAACAAGGAGCCAUUUGAGUCAAGAGGCCCAGGAGUUUCUGGAAACUCACAAGGAAUCUGGCAACACAGUUCCCAAGAGGUCUGACCCAGGAGGAUCAGAAAAACUCUGUGGUUCUCAGAGGCAAAUCCCCAACCCUGGGAGUCCAGAAGCUGCAGGCUCUUUCCAGAAGGGAGAAGUUCCUGCCAAGGCCCUUCCAGACUAAGCCUGUAGCAUUCCUGAUGCUGCGUGAAUACAGAACUCCAGUGGAUCCAGCAUGGGACUCAAAGCAAGCACAAGGCAAGC